ACCACACCACCCUGAACGUGCCUGAUCUUGUCUCAUCUCAGAAGCUAAGCAAGGUCAGGCUAGGUGAGCACUUGGAUGGGAGAAACUAGGUUUUUAAAAUU
rnacentral:rRNA from 1 species